CAAAGGGUGAAUGGGCAAGACAAAAUAUUGAAGUGCCUUUGAACGGGGUAUGGUAGGGUGAAACUUAACAUUAGGAAGGUGCACUUAAUGCUUUGUAAACUCACUGUACAUCAUUGUCCGUUUUAGACUACAGCAUUGAAACCUGCAGGGGAACCACAUCUCAGUAGUACCAGAGGUGUUACCAAGGAACCUGCAACAGAAGGGGUAUUUGCAACACCAGCAGGUGUCUCUCAAACAAAAUUGUGAUGAACAGGACUUCAGGAAUCCCCCUGUCUCUGAGGGGUAGGAGACUGAAUACAUUAAUGGAUGUGUGGUCAAUCCAAAAAACGAUUCCCCCACUCACAUAUUCCUUGACACUGGGGCUGAGGACAGAGAGGAAUUGUAUGGAGUAUACGGUUUGCCACCACCAGAGCUUUGUUUCCUCAAUGUGGCUGACAAUAAGGUGCCCCCCUACUGCUGACUUACUUCCUCCAGGAAAGGCUGGGUAUUAGAAUUAGGU